AGCGGCGGACGGGUGAGUAAUGCCUAGGAAUCUGCCUGGUAGUGGGGGAUAACGUCCGGAAACGGGCGCUAAUACCGCAUACGUCCUACGGGAGAAAGCAGGGGACCUUCGGGCCUUGCGCUAUCAGAUGAGCCUAGGUCGGAUUAGCUAGUUGGUGAGGUAAUGGCUCACCAAGGCGACGAUCCGUAACUGGUCUGAGAGGAUGAUCAGUCACACUGGAACUGAGACACGGUCCAGACUCCUACGGGAGGCAGCAGUGGGGAAUAUUGGACAAUGGGCGAAAGCCUGAUCCAGCCAUGCCGCGUGUGUGAAGAAGGUCUUCGGAUUGUAAAGCACUUUAAGUUGGGAGGAAGGGCAUUAACCUAAUACGUUAGUGUUUUGACGUUACCGACAGAAUAAGCACCGGCUAACUUCGUGCCAGCAGCCGCGGUAAUACGAAGGGUGCAAGCGUUAAUCGGAAUUACUGGGCGUAAAGCGCGCGUAGGUGGUUCGUUAAGUUGGAUGUGAAAGCCCCGGGCUCAACCUGGGAACUGCAUCCAAAACUGGCGAGCUAGAGUACGGUAGAGGGUGGUGGAAUUUCCUGUGUAGCGGUGAAAUGCGUAGAUAUAGGAAGGAACACCAGUGGCGAAGGCGACCACCUGGACUGAUACUGACACUGAGGUGCGAAAGCGUGGGGAGCAAACAGGAUUAGAUACCCUGGUAGUCCACGCCGUAAACGAUGUCAACUAGCCGUUGGGUUCCUUGAGAACUUAGUGGCGCAGCUAACGCAUUAAGUUGACCGCCUGGGGAGUACGGCCGCAAGGUUAAAACUCAAAUGAAUUGACGGGGGCCCGCACAAGCGGUG
rnacentral:rRNA from 1 species